AACGUUUAGAGUUUGAUCCUGGCUCAGGACGAACGCUGGCGGUGCGCCUAAUGCAUGCAAGUCGAACGGGCAAUGGGGCUUCGGCCCCGGCGCUAGUGGCAGACGGCUGAGUAACACGUAAGUGAUCUGCCCCGGAGAGGGGGAUAAUCCGGAGAAAUCCGGCCUAAUACCCCGUACGUUCAUAUGGUUACGGCUGUAUGAAGAAAGGUUUCGACCGCUCUGGGAGGAGCUUGCGGCCUAUCAGGUAGUUGGCGGGGUAAUGGCCCACCAAGCCUAAGACGGGUAACCGAUGUGAGAGCAUGAUCGGUCAGAGGGGGACUGAGACACGGCCCCCACUCCUACGGGAGGCAGCAGCAGGGAAUCUUGCGCAAUGGGCGAAAGCCUGACGCAGCGAC
rnacentral:rRNA from 1 species